AGACCGGUUUAUUGGUCGUGCUUUUGUACGUACUGGUAUUAUUGGUUUCUCCUUUCUGACGAACUAUAAUGCCAUUAAUUUGGUGUUUUAGGGAAUCAGGACGGUUACUUUGAAAAAAUUAGAGUGUUUAAAGCAGGCUCACGCUUGAAUACAUUAGCAUGGAAAAACGGUAUAGGACGUUUGAUUCUAUUUUGUUGGUUUCUAGGAUCGACGUA
rnacentral:rRNA from 1 species